ACCCCCGAUGCCAAUAAAAAAUCAAGAGCUAGCAGUCCAAGCAAUGCCUGAUGAGACUUAUGUGCCAAAUUUUUCAAUAAAUUCAACUCAGAUUCGAAAUGUCUUUUGUCCUAGCAACAUUGGCGGUCCUAUAGUUAGUGUAAAUUUCCAUAAUCAGAUGCAACCACAAUACGCCAUGCCACCAG